rnacentral:misc_RNA from 1 species
AUGAGCGUUUGUUCUUCUUAUUCUUUUGUAUCUCCAAAACUACAGAAACUCUUUCCAAUUUUUCAGUUCUUUGCUUCUUUGUUGAUGUGUGUAUACAUAUAAAAUUUUAAGCGAGUGUUGGGUCUUCUGAGGUUUUAACGCUCACGAUCCAAUUGGAUCUCUCAUCAUUUUUUUUUGCCGGGUCCUUCUUAAGAACACAGAAUCCUUAAAAUUUUGUGGGUUUUUGGAGAAAAUUGUUGGGAA